GAACGUAACGCGAAAACUGACUAACAGCCUUGUAUUCACAGGAACCCAAACCGACUCUUAAUCAGCGGGUCCAAGGUUCGAGUCCUUGUGCGUCCACCA
rnacentral:tRNA from 1 species